rnacentral:ncRNA from 1 species
CCAAAGGCUCUUUUAAGAGCCGCUUAACUUGUCAAAAAGAGGGCUU